rnacentral:rRNA from 1 species
GACGAACGCUGGCGGCGUGCCUAAUACAUGCAAGUAGAACGCUGAAGGAGGAGCUUGCUUCUCUGGAUGAGUUGCGAACGGGUGAGUAACGCGUAGGUAACCUGCCUGGUAGCGGGGGAUAACUAUUGGAAACGAUAGCUAAUACCGCAUAAUAGUAGAUGUUGCAUGACAUUUGCUUAAAAGGUGCAAUUGCAUCACUACCAGAUGGACCUGCGUUGUAUUAGCUAGUUGGUGAGGUAACGGCUCACCAAGGCAACGAUACAUAGCCGACCUGAGAGGGGGAUCGGCCACACUGGGACUGAGACACGGCCCAGACUCCUACGGGAGGCAGCAGUAGGGAAUCUUCGGCAAUGGACGGAAGUCUGACCGGGCAACGCCGCGUGAGGGAAGAAGGUUUUCGGAUCGUAAAGCUCUGUUGUAAGAGAAGAACGAGUGUGGGAGUGGAAAGUUCACACUGUGAUGGUAUCUUACCAGAAAGGGACGGCUAACUACGUG